GACGAACCGUGCGAACGUUAUUCGGAAUCACUGGGCUUAAAGCGCGUGUAGGCGGGCGGGUACGUCGGCGACUGAAAGCCCCCGGCUCAACCGGGGAAGGGGUGCCGAAACGGCCGGCCUGGAGGGGCGUAGGGGGACCUGGAACUUCCGGUGGAGCGGUGAAAUGCGUUGAGAUCGGAAGGAACGCCCGUGGCGAAAGCGAGGUCCUGGACGCCAUCUGACGCUGAGACGCGAAAGCCAGGGGAGCAAACGGG
rnacentral:rRNA from 1 species